rnacentral:rRNA from 1 species
GACGGAGGAUGCAAGCGUUAUCCGGAAUGAUUGGGCGUAAAGCGUCCGCAGGUGGCAGUUCAAGUCUGCUGUCAAAGACCGGGGCUUAACUUCGGAAAGGCAGUGGAAACUGAACAGCUAGAGUAUGGUAGGGGCAGAGGGAAUUCCUGGUGUAGCGGUGAAAUGCGUAGAUAUCAGGAGGAACACCGAUGGCGAAGGCAGGUCUCUGGGCCAUUACUGACACUGAGAAGCGAAAGCAUGGGGAGCGAACAGG